ACGCUCGACACCUACGGGGGCAGCAGUGGGGGAUAUUGCACAAUGGGGGAAACCCUGAUGCAGCAACGCCGCGUGAAGGAAGAAGGUCUUCGGAUUGUAAACUUCUGUCCUCAGGGAAGAUAAUGACGGUACCUGAGGAGGAAGCUCCGGCUAACUACGUGCCAGCAGCCGCGGUAAUCUGAGCGGGCUGGCAAGGC
rnacentral:rRNA from 1 species